rnacentral:rRNA from 1 species
GGAUUAGGCAUGCAAGUCGAACGGGAAGCCGUUGCUUCAAGUUUUCGGACGAGAAGUGACGGUGGAGAGUGGCGAAAGGGUGAGUAACGCGUGGGCAAUCUGCCCUUAAGUUGGGGACAACUCCGCGAAAGCGGGGCUAAUACCGAAUGUGGUCCGGUCUCGCAUGUGACCAGGAUUAAAGACGGGAAUUCUUCGGAAUCUGUCGCUGGAGGAGGAGCCCGCGUCCCAUCAGUUAGUUGGUAGGGUAAGGGCCUACCAAGGCAUACGGGUAGCCGGCCUGAGAGGGUGAUCGGCCACACUGGGACUGAAACACUGCCCAGACUCCUACGGGAGGCUGCAGUCGAGGAUCAUUCGCAAUGCCCGAAAGG